rnacentral:rRNA from 1 species
GACAGAGGGUGCAAACGUUGUUCGGAAUUACUGGGCGUAAAGCGUGUGUAGGCGGUUUGGUAAGUCGGAUGUGAAAGCCCUGGGCUCAACCCAGGAAGUGCACUCGAAACUGCCAAGCUAGAGUAUCGGAGAGGUUGGUGGAAUUCUCGGUGUAGAGGUGAAAUUCGUAGAUAUCGAGAGGAACACCGGUGGCGAAGGCGACUUACUGGACACAUAUUGACGCUGAGGUGCGAAAGCGUGGGGAGCAAACAGG